AUUGAACGCUGGCGGCAUGCUUUACACAUGCAAGUCGAACGGUAACAGGCCGCAAGGUGCUGACGAGUGGCGAACGGGUGAGUAAUGCAUCGGAACGUGCCCAGUCGUGGGGGAUAACGCAGCGAAAGCUGCGCUAAUACCGCAUACGAUCUAUGGAUGAAAGCGGGGGACCGUAAGGCCUCGCGCGAUUGGAGCGGCCGAUGUCAGAUUAGGUAGUUGGUGGGGUAAAGGCCUACCAAGCCAACGAUCUGUAGCUGGUCUGAGAGGACGACCAGCCACACUGGGACUGAGACACGGCCCAGACUCCUACGGGAGGCAGCAGUGGGGAAUGUUGGACAAUGGGCGCAAGCCUGAUCCAGCAAUGCCGCGUGCAGGAAGAAGGCCUUCGGGUUGUAGACUGCUUUUGUACGGAACGAAAAGGCUCUGGUUAAUACCUGGGGCUCAUGACGGUACCGUAAGAAUAAGCACCGGCUAACUACGUGCCAGCCGCCGCGGUAACAC
rnacentral:rRNA from 1 species